AUACGGGGGGAGCAAGCGUUGUCCGGAAUUACUGGGCGUAAAGGGCGUGUAGGCGGCUUGAUAAGUCAGAUGUGAAAGCCUUCCGCUUAACGGAAGAACUGCAUUUGAAACUGUCGGGCUUGAGUGCGAGAGAGGGUAGUGGAAUUCCCAGUGUAGCGGUGAAAUGCGUAGAUAUUGGGAAGAACACCAGUAGCGAAGGCGGCUACCUGGCUCGUAACUGACGCUAAGGCGCGAAAGCGUGGGGAGCAAACAGGAUUAGAAACCCCGGUAGUCC
rnacentral:rRNA from 1 species